rfam:Capsicum annuum cultivar Zunla-1 chromosome 5, whole genome shotgun sequence
ACGACCUUACUUGAACAGGAUCUGUUGUAUUGACUCGUAUGAUUGUAUCGUUGACCUCUAAGGAGACAGGAAACCGAGUCUAGUUGUUGAAGCAUGGUCUUGUGACCCGAGUGAUUAACAGCCGUCCAUAGCUCCUCAGAGCUGUGUCGUGCAGUAGAUGAUUGUUCUUAGAUCUGGUGUUCUGUAAGGCCUAAAGAUGGUCUCAUGACUAAAAU